GGGCGUUUGGUUUAGUGGUAUAAUUCCCCAUUCGCAUUGGGGCGGUCCUGGGUUCGAUUCCCAGAACGUCCA
rnacentral:tRNA from 1 species